UACUGGUAAGCUCAGUUGGUAGAGCGCUCCACUGGAAAUGGAGAAGUUCCAGGUUUGAUACCAGGACCAGGCA
rnacentral:tRNA from 1 species